AGUGGAGUUGCUGUUCAAAAGGGAAGUUGCUAGAAAGAUACCAGUUGAAGGAAUAAGAGAAAGGAACUAAAUCCUUGGUUCACAAGGAUAACUGCAGAAUGUGCUGAGAACGCAACAUCGCGCGAGAAAGGGGAGCUGGCCAGAAAAGCCCAGGCUCUGUUUUAGUCCUCUCCUGAAAACAGGCUGUCUGUCAACACUUCAGUACAGUGGGUCAGGUUACCCUAGAUCAUGUUGGCUGAAGCAAAUAAUUGUAACAGCACUCAAGAAAUGAAUGAAUACCACAGGGAAGAGCUUCAACCACCACUGCCCCUGACAACCU
rnacentral:lncRNA from 1 species